rnacentral:rRNA from 1 species
UACGUAGGGUCCGAGCGUUUGUCCGGAAUUAUUGGGCGUAAAGGGCUCGUAGGCGGUUCGUCACGUCGGGAGUGAAAACUCGGGGCUUAACCCCGAGCCUGCUUCCGAUACGGGCAGACUAGAGGUAGGCAGGGGAGAGCGGAACUCCUGGUGUAGCGGUGGAAUGCGCAGAUAUCAGGAAGAACACCAGUGGCGAAGGCGACACGCUGGGCCGUACCUGACACUGAUGCGCGACAGCAUGGGGAGCAAACAGG